GACGAACGCUGGCGGCGUGCCUAAUACAUGCAAGUUGAGCGCUGAAGGUUGGUACUUGUACCAACUGGAUGAGCAGCGAACGGGUGAGUAACGCGUGGGGAAUCUGCCUUUGAGCGGGGGACAACAUUUGGAAACGAAUGCUAAUACCGCAUAAAAACUUUAAACACAAGUUUUAAGUUUGAAAGAUGCAAUUGCAUCACUCAAAGAUGAUCCCGCGUUGUAUUAGCUAGUUGGUGAGGUAAAGGCUCACCAAGGCGAUGAUACAUAGCCGACCUGAGAGGGUGAUAGGCCACAUUGGGACUGAGACACGGCCCAAACUCCUACGGGAGGCAGCAGUAGGGAAUCUUCGGCAAUGGACGAAAGUCUGACCGAGCAACGCCGCGUGAGUGAAGAAGGUUUUCGGAUCGUAAAAAUCUGUUGGUAGAGAAGAACGUUGGUGAGAGUGGAAAGCUCAUCAAGUGACGGUAACUACCCAGAAAGGGACGGCUAACUACGUG
rnacentral:rRNA from 1 species